CUCCCUCCCUGCCCCCUUUCCGCCUCACCCUGUUUUCCCCUCUCAAUCGGCGGGAAUCGCUUUUCGCCCCGCCGCGCCCACCAGCCUGCUUCGCUGCCGCUACUUCCGCCCUGUCGCGUCGCUCCUCCACCGCUACUCCCUCGCCACUCCUCCGUGCUGCCUCGCCGCUCCACCACGCUUCCUCGCCAGAUUUCUCUUUUCCUAUUCUUUUUCUUAUUCUUCGACGGGUAAAGAUCGGAUCUGUGAAUGAAUCCUCCGCCGCCACACUUCUCCCUCUCCUUCCUCUUCUUCUCCGUCCGUCGGCUCGCUCUCACGACGGUAGGUAUACGUCCGUCGAUCAUCAGUGCCAUGCGCCCACUGUCCGUCGUCUCCUCUCUUCACUCCACGGCGACCCGGCGCCGCCAGCCUUGGUGUCGCCGUCGUCCAGCAGACGCCUCCAUCCUCUUCUUCAUGCUUCAUCUUUUGAAAUUUCUGAUCAAAUCUUUGAAUGAAUCCGCCAGCCGCCGCCUUGCUGCCACUGCCCCAUCUCCCUCAUCCUGUCGCCCUCUUGUCUGAGCUGUCGCCGGAUUCCAAGCACCCUGCUAUGCUACAAUCAAAAUUCAGAAAAUCAGUCCAUAAAAAUUCCAGAUUCAAUUAAUGUUGUGUCUAUAUAAAUGUCAUAAACUUCUCGUUGAAGCCAAUAUUUUCUGCAUCUCAUUGGACCAAUUUUUAUCCAAUAAUAUUUGCCUUUUUAUUUGUCCAA